UUCACUGAAUCUAUUUGGCUCCAUGCUCCCAAUUCUCUCACAAUUUUUACAUCUUGCUAGAGUCGUAUAGAAGUCGUGGGUUCUAGCUACUAGCGGCGGCGAUGGCGACUACACCCACUAAUAGAGGUACCAGAUCUAGCGGAUUUUGUGGUGACGGCGAAGAAAGCCGCUUCAUGGUUGUUCAGACCCGACCUAAAAAGGACCACCAUUCCAGCUUUCUUCCACAUCAAUGUUUAGGGACCGUGAAGGCUUCAGCAAACUAACUACGAAUAAGAAGAAUGAGAAGAAAUCCAAAAGGAAAUCGGAAUCUAAGCUGCAAGUGAGUUAACAAUACAUAUUUAUUAAGUUAAUUAAUCUUUUGGUUAUUUGAUCUUAUUUAGGCAGUAGAUUGGCGUAAACAAACUUGUAAGAUUUGUUGCUGGUCAGAGAUUGACUGUGUGGAGUACUUUGCAAUUUAGGAGGGUAUGUUACUGAGAAAAGGAGCUCUGUUUCAUCAAGACAGAAUGUGACCUUAGAUUCGCCGUUAAUUAAACUAUCAAGUCUGGUAAACUGAACCCCAAAAACAACUGUUUGACAUCCAACAUACAGCUGGUGGGUGGAGAUGGAUGGAAUCCUGUUUAUUUUACUGUUCGCGUCGACACGGCUCAUGUCGAAACCCGUCUCGGUCUGAAACUUAAUUAUUUUGUCGGAUUAUUCCUUCAGGUGGUGGUGGUGUUUUUGCUGACGCUGUACCAUUCUUCUCAAGAACAAGAAAACAAAGUUUUUCUUCAUGUAUUUACAAAACAACAGAUAGAUAUGAGAGAUUUGACAUUGAAAUGGAAAUUGAAUUGAAUUGUUUGGUGAUUUGAUGAUUUAGGUCAAAUAGUUUAUAAGAAGCUGAAGGAGAGGUCAGGGGAGUAUAUUGCACGAGGUUUUGUUAGAAGUGAGGAAAGUAAGACGAGUCCAUUGGUGGAGCCGACGUUGUUUUGAUGGGCGAUAUACCAAUCUGGCAGCUCUAUGCACCGAGACUGCACUCUAGUGCAUCAGUGAGAAAACGGACGUGAUUGAUUUGGAAGACGAGUCCAUCGAUGCGGUGAUUCUUAAUUUCAUGGCAGUUACGAAUGGGCAUUUUCAGACCGCCCUCGGGACCACCAAUCCUUCUGCUCUUCGUGAGACCGUUGUCGAAGUUCCGAACGUUAGCCGGGAAGACAUCGGUGGACUCGAGAAUGUUAAACGAGAGCUACAAGAGACUGUUCAAUAUCCUGUCGAACGUCCUGAGAAAUUUGAGAAGUUCGGUAUGCUUAAGGGUGUGAAUUUCUCACACGUAUCAAACUUAACACGAUACGUGGGCUUGGGUUUGGCCUAAACGGGUUUGGGACUUCAGGUCAGCAUCAGACUUUUUUUCGGACCUGUAUUGGUUGGAUUUAUGCUGGUAAAGGUUCCGGGUUAUACGUUUGGGCCGGUCGGCUUAUAAAGACUCAGUUCUGGUACCUUAUUCAGACUCAAGGGGACCGGGUUUUUGGCUAUUAUAAUGUGUCGUAAAAUGCUGAAGGACAGGGAUGUGCUGCUGUGUUCGGCUGCAAGAAGUGGGCUCUGCCAACAGUUGUACGUAGCAAGUCCCAAACUGAUUUGUCUGAAGAUUAUUGCCAAAUUGGAAUUUCUGCAGCUGCUGAUUGAUUCCGAAAAUUAGCUUUGCAUUGUAUAUUCUCAAAACAGUAUCCAUUGUAAAUCUAUUUAUUUCUUUUUUGAAUUCAGGGUUCAUUUUUGAGCAUUGGAGUUAAUUCUGGGGUGUUAUAUUGUUUUAUUAUUUAACCAA